CGUAGGGGUGCGAGCGUUAAUCGGAAUUACUGGGCGUAAAGCGUGCGCAGGCGGUUUUGUAAGACAGAUGUGAAAUCCCCCGGGCUCAACCUGGGACCUGCAUUUGUGACUGCAAGGCUAGAGUACGGUAGAGGGGGAUGGAAUUCCGCGUGUAGCAGUGAAAUGCGUAGAUAUGCGGAGGAACACCGAUGGCGAAGGCAAUCCCCUGGACCUGUACUGACGCUCAUGCACGAAAGCGUGGGGAGCAAACAGGAUUAGAUACCCUGGUAGUCCACGCCCUAAACGAUGUCAACUGGUUGUUGGGUCUUUACUGACUCAGUAACGAAGCUAACGCGUGAAGUUGACCGCCUGGGGAGUACGGCCGCAAGGUUG
rnacentral:rRNA from 1 species